rnacentral:rRNA from 1 species
CCUACGGGUGGCAGCAGUAGGGAAUAUUGCUCAAUGGGGGAAACCCUGAAGCAGCAACGCCGCGUGGAGGAUGACGGUUUUAGGAUUGUAAACUCCUUUUGUUAGAGAAGAUUAUGACGGUACCUAACGAAUAAGCACCGGCUAACUCCGUGCCAGCAGCCGCGGUAAUACGGAGGGUGCAAGCGUUACUCGGAAUCACUGGGCGUAAAGGGUGCGUAGGCGGGGUAAUAAGUCAGAUGUGAAAUCCUGUAGCUUAACUUCGGAACUGCAUUUGAAACUGUUAGGCUGGAGAGUGGGAGAGGUAGGUGGAAUGCAUGGUGUAGGGGUGAAAUGCGUAGAGAUCAAGAGGAACACUGAUUGCGAAGGCGACCUGCUAGGACAUUACUGACGCUGAGGCACGAAAGCGUGGGGAGCAAACAGGAUUAGAUACCCUAGUAGUC